AAACUUUGAGCAGAUCACUCCUGAACCGUUCCCAAGCUUCACUAAAGCUCUCGUUGCUGUGCUGCGUGAAACUUGAGAUCUGAUUCCUGAGCUU
rnacentral:snoRNA from 1 species